CUUCGCAUAGCCAUGGAAAGUUGAACAACGUAUUUUCCUCACAAACCUGGGUUUAAUCGUCUUAUUCAAUCUGACUUCGUCAUCUACGGUUAAUCGUAAAACAAACCAUCACCAUUGAGAACCAUCGCAGUUAAUGGAGUUUCAGGAGAUUUUGUGAGAAAAAUCUGCGUGAGGGAUCUCUGAGUCGAUCUUCGUUCGCAUCUGUUCGUCUUAGAUUCUUUUUCUCCAAAACGUUACGGAUUCGUCGAUUCAUUGCCAUUAAGAACCAUAUUUAAUCCUUUGACCCACAAUAAACACUAUCAAUCAUUCAAUGCUAUUUAUUUCCCUGUCUAUCCACCUUUAAAAAGGCCAGCCCUCAUCGACUGAACAUCAUCCUCUUCUCCCUCUCAAUCUAUUCAGUUAUCGUUAAUUAAAAGCAAUUUUUUUUACAGUUUCGUCUCUCUCUAUCUGUUGAAAUUUCUGUAACUUUAUUUCUCUACUCCUCUGUAAUACACACGAUCUUCCAUUAACAAACAACAUAUUUUGAUAUAGACUCAAUAUACCAACUUCGGUUCAAAGGUUUCGCAGUGCUUGGGAACAAAGAACGUCAGCAACAAUUUCUUUAGUCAUAAAAGCAAACAAAUUGAUAGAACUUCAGCCAAUCUCAAUUGAUUCCGCCACCGUCAUACGUCCACAAUCUCUUCGUCUGGUACAGGCAGAAGUUAGGUUUAGCAAAUAUUCCCCAAAAUUCAAUCGUUCUCAUGAUAUAUCAUCUUCAAAGAUGCAAAUCUUUUAAUGUUUGUUAACCUUAAUUUCUUCCAGCAGGUUGUUUCCUGAGGAAAAAAAUGGUGUCUGCAUAUAAACCAGGUGUGUCGUUCCUCUAUUCUAAUUUUGUAAAUAUCAGACACUGACGGAGGUCUUACAUGAAAAGCUGCCAACGAUGUCCCUUAUUGCUUCGGACUUUAGCUACUUGCCCGAUGUGAAAGUUCCUGGUAAAAGAGCCCCAUUGGUCUCAACAAAGGAGGGGAUAAUAAGCUUAGAUGGAGAUGUUUUUGCAUAGUUUUAUAUUUUGUUUGCACAAACGUACAUUUGAGAUUUCUCUAGCUUUAAUAGCUGAUAUCAGGACUUUCAACUAUACAUGCUUAGGAGAUGUGUGGCGAUUUAUGGAGCUGUGAAACAUUAAUAUAUCGUGGAGUUAUACGAACAUGAGAUAGCUUUGAAGUGGAAAACUUAAGAAAAUGGAAAUGUACAUUCAUCGAUGCAUAUUUCAGUCUUCGAUUCUGAUGAAAUUCAUAUAAAAAGGAUCUUUAAAGGUAGCUACUUUCUUUUAAAUUUUAAGUCUAUAUAACAAAAAGCCUUUGCGACAUCAAUGUAAACUUAUUCACUGAUUGUCGGAUAGGCAAAGCCAAUUAUGAAGAUAGCAAAAUAUGAAUGUAAUUACGAGAAUAUGAUUGAAUGAAGUCUUUUUUUUUUCA